rnacentral:rRNA from 1 species
AUUGAACGCUGGCGGCAGGCCUAACACAUGCAAGUCGAGCGAGCGGCGGACGGGUGAGUAAUGUAUGGGGACUGCCCGAUAGAGGGGGAUAACUACUGGAAACGGUAGCUAAUAACGCAUACUAUCGGAUAACCCAUAUGGGAUUAGCUAGUUGGUGAGGUAAUGGCUCACAAAGGCGACGAUCCCUAGCUGGUCUGAGAGGAUGAGCAGCCACACGGGGACUGAGACACGGCCCAGACUCCUACGGAGGAAGCAGUGGGGAAUAUUGCACAAUGGGCGAAAGCCUGAUGCAGCCAUGCCGCGUGUAUGAAGAAGGCCUUAGGGUUGUAAAGUACGUUCAGUCGGGAGGCGGUAUCUACAGAAGAAGCACCGGCUAACUCCGUGCCAGCAGCCGCGGUAAUUC